UACGGGGGGGGCAAGCGUUGUUCGGAAUUACUGGGCGUAAAGGGCUCGUAGGCGGCCAACUAAGUCGGACGUGAAAUCCCCAGGCUCAACCUGGGAACUGCGUCCGAUACUGGAUGGCUUGAAUUCGGGAGAGGGAUGCAGAAUUCCAGGUGUAGCGGUGAAAUGCGUAGAUAUCUGGAGGAACACCGGUGGCGAAGGCGACUACCCGGCCUGUUCUUGACGCUGAGGCGCGAAAGCUAGGGGAGCAAACGGG
rnacentral:rRNA from 1 species